rnacentral:rRNA from 1 species
UACGUAGGCGGAAAAUUAAGUCAGUAGUGAAAUCCUGCAGCUUAACUGUAGAACUGUUAUUGAUACUGGUUUUCUUGAAUAUAGUUGAGGUAGGCGGAAUGUGUAAUGUAGCGGUGAAAUGCUUAGAUAUUACGCAGAACACCGAUUGCGAAGGCAGCUUACUAAGCUAUGAUUGACGCUGAGGUACGAAAGCGUGGGGAGCGAACAGGAUUAGAUACCCUGGUAGUCC